AGCACUGUCUGGUGCUUGACACAGUGUCUGCUAUGAGCUGAUAAGUUAUCGGCUUAGGCGGUGUUUCUUGGGAGGAGUCUUGUCCCCUUGCACUGAAAGGGAUCACGCAUGGGACAAUCAGCCACUAGAAGUGCCUUGGUAGAGAACAUAAGUUUUUUUCCCCCUUAAACUGUCCAUGUUAUGCUUCUUCACAUCUUUUCUUCCUAUGCUGUCUCUCACUCAGGACCUACUGGCUUGGCCUUGCUAAGACUCUUCACAUGUAAUAAACUGAAAACAGGAGCAGAGGAGAAACCAGUACUUAGAUUAGGCAUCCUUCAGUCUCGAGAGACUAUGGUAACAUGCUCUGCAUGGAGGACUUGGAACAACGUCUAGUGUGGAUGAGAAGGCUAAUUCGACAGUGACAAUCCCUUCCACAUUGAAGACAAAUACAAUCUGUACCCCAUCUAGCUCCCUGAUUUUGCUGCUUUCGUGAUUGCCUCUUUGCCUCGGUCUGCUGGACAAGAGUCUCUUCAAAUUGGGAGAAGCCAUGAUGCAACGCCUGUCUCCAGGCUGAAUCCAAUACUACAGUGGAUUUUAUUGUCAGUGGGAUCUAGGAAUGCAAACUUAAGUGAGUAAUACAUUCAACGUCCAAUUGAGUGAAGUAAACGGAUCAUGAAGAGGAAAAUGUAAUAGUAGAUAAAGACUUUUAAAACACUGGUAGGUUUCCCAAAGCAAGCAAAUGAUACAUUUCAAGUUGAAUCAUGCAAACCUUAUUUAAUGUUCUUGAAAAAUCUAUCACAGAACCCACAGUCUGCUGCAAAUGUCCUGUGCCUGCAAAAAGCCUCGUUAGUAGACAACACACACUUCAGUUACAAUUUUGGCCUAAAUAGGAUUUGGUGUAGACUGGCAGGACACACCUUAUGUUCCUGUGCUGGAUUUUUAUCCAUCUGAACUGUCAGAGGAGUACUUCAAACUCAUUAUUUUCAUCUAUGGUUAUUUUUAAAAAGCAUUUUUUUGAUAGAGGAUGCUGAAUCCACAAAAGUUAAUGUUGCUCAUGUACCACUGCAUGCUUACUGUCCAACAAGCACACACUCUCCUGUUGUAGGAAUGGAUGCGCUCCCUCUGAGACUGACAAAUUCUCUUAGGCUGUAGUCCUCUACAGUUUUACCAGAGAAUAAGCUUCAAUUCAGACAGUGAGAUUUACUUUCCAGUAGACAUGCAUCAUGCAUAAGGUUGAGUUGUUACAGUCUCUGAAAGCAAGCAAACAAGCAGGCAAGCAGGCAAGCAAGCAAUGGGCUUUUGUGACUUACAGACAACCACAAUAGCAGGCAAGUAAGCAACGGGCUUUUGUGACUUACAGACAACCACAAUGACCACAACAAAACAUUUGAUGCUUUAUCCCAUACAUUUUUGGCUCCAGUCAGACAGCAAAGGAUCAUUCUGAGAUUUAACUAGAUAAUUAAUUUUCUGCUUUCAAUUCAACUAUCCCCAGAGUUGUGGACUCUUGUUUUCAUGACUUUGCUAAUCUCUACACAUGCUUUAUUUUUCAUCAGCCCCACAGCAAAAGGUUACCAUGUUUUUCUCACUUCAAAGCUUGUCGUAGUCAUUUAGCAGAUUCACUUUAUAAUCCCUCUCUGAAUUACAUGGUUUAACAGGGGCUUCUAAACAGCAGUCCUAGUAGGAGAUUUAGGCAAGGAUUUAAUAGUAAAAGGUUACUUCAGUCUUGUCCUUCCGUGGCCUAUUUUCCAUUGUAUUUGCAUUCAGAGAAGAGAAUGUUUAAAACAAGUAUCAUUAUAGUAGUAAAAGAAGAUUCUUCUAGCUUAUGGUUUACUCUGCAGAUUUCCUUUUCUUCUUGCAAAAUAUUUGAAUGAGAUAACCUACUAUUUCACAUGAUUAUUCCAAACCAUUACUUAAAUUUCUUAAUAAAAAAAACUAGCUUCUUUAACA
rnacentral:lncRNA from 1 species